rnacentral:tRNA from 2 species
GGGCGAUUAGCUCAGUUGGAUAGAGCGUUGGCCUCCGGAGCCAAAGGUCGGGCGUUCGAGUCGCCCAUCGCCCGCCA